rnacentral:rRNA from 1 species
GUCAAGUCAUCAUGCCCCUUAUGCCCAGGGCUGCAAACAUGCUACAAUGGCCGGUACAAAGGGCUGCGAAACCGCGAGGUUGAGCGAAUCCCGUAAAGCCGGUCUCAGUUCGGAUCGGAGUCUGCAACUCGACUCCAUGAAGCCGGAGUCGCUAGUAAUCGCGGAUCAGCAAAGCCGCGGUGAAUACGUUCUCGGGGAUU